GCCUAAAUGGAAGGCCUCCCCUCUUGAGGAUGGCAGUGUCUGCUGGUUUCAAUGCUCAAGUAGUGAAUGGACUAAAACUCUCCAGAUUCCAUGUCCUUGAGUGCUAUUCAUCGAAAUAUAAUUAGUAAAAUCCAAUCAAUUAUAAAUAAUCAUCAGUACAUGGCCCUGAGUUUGCCCAACAUGACACCACAAAAGGCAUCAAAUUAUGAGAGUUGACAUGGGCUCUUUUGGUACUGGGAGGUCUAAAAAUAUUAUCUGAAGGGAAGGUCUACAACCCCAACAGUGGCCAGAUUCAAGAAAGGUUCUCAGAGGAUGUAGGAGUGUCCUGAUGGAGGACACUCCUACAUCCAGAACUGCAUCCAGAACACUCCUACAUCCAGAACUACAUCCUCCAUCCAGAACUGCUGCUCUGCCCCAGGGCUAGACCUGCUCUACCCUACCCAGCCAGGGUUCACCUGCUGUGGGCACCGCUACCCAACGCCUCCAUGUGGUCUUGCUGCGCAAUGGUCCUGCACCCAUGGUCUGAACCACACACCACCAACAAGAACAUGAUUCCAGGACCUAGGAUUCUACCACUGGGGAGCCUGAAGACGGAAGUCCUGUGUGACACCAAAGUUCUGCUAGGGACAGUGGAGAGUGUGUCUGUGAAGAGGAAUGAGCGGUCCAUCGUGAUCGUGAACGCCAUGUUCAUGCAGGCCUUGUGUGGCCCUGUCAACGCCCUGCCUGCCCCUCACUACCUCACAUUACCCGACCACUGCAGCUGCCCUGAACUGGUGCCGGGCAACAAUUACAUCUGGGUGAAAACAAGACAUUUCUCUGACACCAUAAACUUCAUCUCUGAUCUCUGUGACUAUUCCUCCCCUCUCCAUUAAAUCCUCUCCAGGUGCUCAAAAUUAUACUUUUCACCAUGUUUUGAGGCUAUACAUGUUUUGAGGCUAUACAAACUAUGGCUUAAAAAACAGCUUAUAUUUUUGUGUUCUGAUGGGGUAGGACAGUUUAAACUAAGUUCAUGAGGCAUACGCUAUAUUCUUCAAGAGUCGAUUUGUAUAUCAUUCAAAUUCAAAUUCCGAAAAAUGUAUGUAGCUGUCACGCCCUGGCCUUAGUAUUCUGUGUUUUCGUUAGUAUUUUGGUGAGGCCAGGGUGUGACAUGGGGAUUUAUGUGGUUUGUUUUGUCUGGGGUUGUUGGUAGGUAUGGGAUUGUGGUUAGAGUAGUACUAGAGUUAACUAGAGUUAGAGUAGUUAAGUCUAUGGUUGCCUAGAGUGGUUCUCAAUCAGAGGCAGGUGUUUAUCGUUGUCUCUGAUUGGGAACCAUAUUUAGGCAGCCAUAUUCUUUAGGUCUCUUGUGGGUGAUUGUUCCUGUCUCUGUGUUUGCACCAGAUAGGGCUGUUUUGGGUUUUCUUGUUUUGUUAGUUUGUUUGUUUUGUUAGUUUGUUCAUGUGUAGAGUCUUUAUUAAAGAACCAUGAAUAGAAACCACGCUGCAUUUUGGUCCGCCUCUCCUUCAAGUCAAGAAAACCGUUACAGUAGCCAUCACAGAUUAAUUUAAACUAUCAUAUCUUUAAUACAUUUUUAUUUGCUCACAUUUGUAUUAUGUUUGUUUGGG
ensembl:lncRNA